UGUCGUUUAGUUAUCGGUCGGAGCCGAGUCGUAGUUGUGCGGAAACUCCCUAAUAUACUUAUUUACCUGCUAUUCACUGUAACCUACUGAAUAAGUUUCCCGUACUCCUUGAGGUACUGGUACUCCAGGUUAGGAACCCCUGCUCUAGAGCUUCAACUAAGACGAGUUGAUCUAAAAGUGCUGGCCGUUCAAACUUGAAUCUCCUUAAUAACUUUAAAAAUUUUUAUAGACUCGUAUGAAAUGCAAUAAACAAACCAUUGAAAAUUUCAAUUGUAUUUGCACAAUUGAAUACAACUUUUUUUUUUUCUAAGAAAUUGAUUACUCAUUCAACCUUGCAUUUUUAAACAUUUCAAAAUAGCAGAUAUAGUCGGCUGGAUGGCUUCGGUGGAAGUGUGCUAUGUGUACUUCCAUCCUGAAGGAUUGAGAUUCAAUUUCCGAGUCCCACACCUCAAAAUGUCUUUUCUGGAAAGGUCCGAGCCUAGAUCAUUGAAUUCCACUACCUCCAUCUUGUAUGGCUGAUCGCAAUAGGGCAUUUUGCCAUCAGUCAUAAGGUGAUAUACAGUAUAUACUAAUAUAUAUAUAUAUCGAAACAUCCUCAUUAAAUUCAGUAAAAACUUUCGUUGCCAAACUUUUCUUGAUAUUCUGCUGUGAUUAUAUAGGUGAGUUCCGAUCCAAUUACAUUAUUGAUAAUUGGACGCAAUGUGGUACCGAACUGAUUCUAUAUUUUGGCUGAUUUACGUCUUUCAAACAUGGCAAUCAAUAUAACUAAAAAAAAACUUAUAAAAGUUUUAUAUUUUAAUAUCUAAGUUAAAACAUCAUAUAUUAAACAAUAAAAUUUAAAUACCGGUAAUACUGUAUAUAAUAAAGAACAAACAACAAACAAGAAUUACUCGUUACAAAUAAUAAAACAACAGGGAAAAUUUUUAAAAUGAUCAUCGUACACGAAACACGUUCACUAACGAAAACAUUAACAUGUUUUCGUUAGUUUUUGACAUUAAUUAUCCCGUUAAUGUCGUCGUUAAUUAUCGAAUGUAAUAAGCCAUACCAUGUUUGAAUUUAAAGUCCUUCUUUAAUUACACGUAUGAUACUGUACUUGAUUUAUUUAUUUACUUUGAUAUUAUCGUAAAUAAUCUUCAAUUUUUGGCGCCCUAUGCGAGUGCCUAGUCUGCCUAUACGUUGUGGAUUGGACGGAUGGCCUCGUGAUAAAGCGUUCGCUUACCAUCUUGAAGAAUUCGGGUUCAAAUCCUUGUCUGGUUUUUCAGGAGGGUCUGAGUCCGGUUGUUGAAUCCCAUCUUUCAAACUUCCAAUUGACCCCAACACGAGUGUUCACAACUGACCAACACCAAUGGUGGUUGGCCAUAGAUUAUAAAAGUGACCGCCCAAGAGUGGUAUGGCGACUUAAAUUUACCAAACCUAUAUGUUUUGAUAGUUAGAGCCUAUAAUACCAUCCGUAUGCAAUCAUUGAUAGCAUCAAUAUCUCUUACUAUUACUAUCAAAGAACUACGUAAUUCGAUAAUAAUCGAUAGAAAAAAAUAUGAAUAUACAGCGGACUCCCGUACAACGUGGGGGAUGCCGCGUUAUGGUAAAUCGCGCAAUACGAGACACGCGCAUUGUCAAACGAUUUUAUGCAAAUUUAAACUUUUCCCUGAGCUGCAGCACUGAUGGC
rnacentral:lncRNA from 1 species